rnacentral:misc_RNA from 1 species
UCCUGAAUUUUAUGUACAGCAAUAAAUUGACCACUAAUACAGCACCUGCUUUGCUGGAUGUACUCAUGGCUGCCGACAAGUUUGAAGUUGCUUCCUGCAUGCGGUAUUGUAGCCGGCAACUGCGUAAUUUACCUAUGACUCCAGAGUCCGCUUUGCUGUAUUUGGAGCUUCCUUCUAGCAUCCUGAUGGCUGAAGCAGUUAAGCCUUUGACAGAUGCCGCAGAACAAUUCCUAGCUGCAAGAUACAAAGAUAUUACCAAGUUUCAGGAAGAGGUCAUGAAGCUGCCUCUUGCUGGAGUAGAGGCUAUUUUGUUCAGUGAUGACCUUCAGAUCGCCUCAGAGGAUGCAGUGUAUGACUUUGUGUUGAAGUGGACAAGGACUCAUUAUCCACAGUUAGAGGAACGGCGAGAAAUCCUUAGUUCACGACUUGGUCGUUGCAUCCGUUUUCCUUUUAUGAGCUGUAGAAAGCUUCGGAAGGUUCUGGCAUGUAAUGACUUUGAUCACGAAUUUGCAUCCAAGCUUGUGCUUGAG